AAGGCUUGACCUCAAAUCAGGUAGGACUACCCGCUGAACUUAAGCAUAUCAAUA
rnacentral:rRNA from 1 species